AGGAGGAAACGCCACCUGGUGGUCCUUUAACUGAAGCUUUGCCCCCUGCCCGAAAGGAAGAAGCAGUUUUCCAGCUUUGCUUCUGCUACCGUAGCUUGGAUUGUCUGCGGACUCAAAGGUGAGUACAAUCAACGAGAAACUGAAGUGGGAGAUUCUACGACUGCCCAGAGGCAGCAGCAUGCAUGGGGCUGGUUGUGGGUGCUGUGUGCAGUCCAGAGGAAUCGUGGGAGAAAGGAAGUCCUUAAACACCGUACAGAAACAAACACUGCAAUCCAGUAUGGCUUAUUCGGAUGCAUUUACCAUGAAGCUACUAGA
rnacentral:sRNA from 1 species